rnacentral:rRNA from 1 species
UACAGAGGGGGCAAGCGUUGUUCGGAAUUACUGGGCGUAAAGGGCGCGUAGGCGGCCCGCUAAGUCGAACGUGAAAUCCCCAGGCUCAACCUGGGAACUGCGUCCGAUACUGGCAGGCUUGAAUCCGGGAGAGGGAUGUGGAAUUCCAGGUGUAGCGGUGAAAUGCGUAGAUACAAUCAAGAACCCCGAUUGCGUAGGCAGCUAACUAGGCUGUAACUGACGCUGAGGCACGAAAGCGUGGGGAGCGAACAGG